rnacentral:lncRNA from 1 species
GUGUUUCUUGUGGGGCGAGAGAGGGAGUGCGCUGCUCACCGCCCUGUACCCGCUGCCCGGCUCUGCUUUCCACUCUUGGCUGGUGCCCCGUGGGCCUUUCAGGCGAGCUGGGCGGAAGUAGGUCAGGGACCUUCCAGCUGUGGGAUCCUCAGUGGGGCGGAAUCAGAGGUUUCUGGCUGACUCGGUGGGUGCUUUGUACCAGGAAAGGACAAGAAAGAGGAUGGGAAGGAGGACUGAUCCACGUUCCCACCAGGAAGCUUAGUGGAACCCCCGUAUGCCACCUGGACCCCCUGGAAGGACCUGGCCAAGGCUGAACCACCUCUUGAGAGGCAAGAGCUCCAAAUUUGAUCAGAAAUUCUUGGCUGGGCAUGGUGCCUCAUGCCUAUAAUCCCAACACUUUGGGAAACCGAGGUGGGAGGAUCGCUUGAGCCUGGGAGUUCAAGACCAGCCUGGGCAAUAUAAGGAGACCCCAUCUCUAAAGAAUAGUAAUAAUAAAAUAAAAAAUUAGCAGGGCAUGGUGGCAUGUGCCUGUAGUCCCAGCUACCCAGGAGGCUGAGGCAAGAGGAUGGCUGGAGCCUGGGACGUUGAGGCUGCAAUGAACUGUGAUUACCCCACUGCACUCCAGCCUGGGCAACAGAGCGAGAGACCCUGUCUCAAAAUAAUACUACUAAUAAUCUUAUUUUGGAGAAUAAAGAAACCUCUGGAUUUGAGGAGCCAUUUGGAUAGAAAGCAAAGACCUUCACAAUGAGAAAUAGUCUGUGUUGACCUGAAGGAGCAGAGGGAUGCAUCACUGGAGGUGACCUACAGUUGGAGAAGACUCAUUAUGCCAGACCUUGUCCUUCUUCCUUGUGGAAAAUGUUUCCCCUGCUGCUGCUGCUCAUGAGACUCUUCCCCCUCCCUGUCUCAGGCAACCAAAGGGCUUUCUACCACACCCUUUCUUGCCCCCCGCCUCCCAUGUCUGCUGUGCCUUUGUACUCAGCAAUUCUUGUUUGCUCCAUUAUCUUCCAGCCGGAUACAGAGUGAAUAGUUAACCACACUUAGGUCAAAUAGGAUCUGAAUUUUUGUUCCUGCUCCAUCUAAAGAGGCCAGUGUUUGUGCGUUGCAAGCAGCCUCGGAAUAGUAACUCUUCUCAUUUGUUUGGGAUCUCAUUGUAUUCCUCAGCCAUCAAGUUCCAGAAUGAUACAUGGAUCAGUGCAGAAGUUCAUCAGGCUCUCGGACCUUAGGGCUGUUGGAGAAGUCUUCAGCAGGGGAACUGAUGGUGAAGGCUGGUGUUCUCCAUCCUCAACUUUCUUUGCUUGGAUCACACAUAAGUAUACAUUUGGAAGGGCAAAAAAUGAACACUGUUGUUCACUGCAGCCAUGUUUUGUGACACAGAUGCAGUCUGCUGUGAAGACCUUCUCGCAAGUGGCAGUUGGGGGUCCAUGCCAGAUCAUGGUGCUUCGUGACAGACUAACAGCUACCAGGGAUGGUGGCACUUAGUGAGGACCCUCCUCCCCCAGUGUGUGCUGAUGACACAUACACACCUGACAAUAGCUUGAGUCUUCUCUGUUCUUUUUUACUCUGUGGCCACCAUACACAUGAUUUAAAACCCUUCCUAAAUAUCUAUCAUGGUUCACCCUUGUCCAAAUGCAGAGUCAAAGCUACUUGUACUUUAUUAUUAUUUCCAAGGCAAAUAGAUGGCUUGCUUUUUACAAAAAGAAUUAAAGCUUUUGUAUGUUG